rnacentral:rRNA from 1 species
UACGUAGGGUGCGAGCGUUGUCCGGAAUUAUUGGGCGUAAAGGGCUCGUAGGCGGUCUGUUGCGUCGGGAGUGAAAACUCAGGGCUUAACCCUGAGCCUGCUUCCGAUACGGGCAGACUAGAGGUAUGCAGGGGGAGAACGGAAUUCCUGGUGUAGCGGUGAAAUGCGCAGAUAUCAGGAGGAACACCGGUGGCGAAGGCGGUUCUCUGGGCAUUACCUGACGCUGAGGAGCGAAAGCGUGGGGGAGCGAACAGG